rnacentral:rRNA from 1 species
UCAAAGGAAUUGACGGGGCCCGCACAAGCGGUGGAGCAUGUGGUUUAAUUCGACGCAACGCGAAGAACCUUACCAGGGCUUGACAUCCCCUGACCGCGUAUGAAAGUACGUUUUCACCCUCGGGUGACAGGGAGACAGGUGGUGCAUGGUUGUCGUCAGCUCGUGUCGUGAGAUGUUGGGUUAAGUCCCCGCAACGAGCGCAACCCCUACGUUUAGUUGCUAACGCGUGAAGGCGAGCACUCUAGACGAACUGCCGUUGACAAACCGGAGGAAGGUGGGGAUGACGUCAAGUCCUCAUGGCCUUUAUGACCAGGGCUACACACGUACUACAAUGGCCGGUACAAAGGGCAGCCACUUAGCGAUAAGGAGCCAAUCCCGUAAAGCCGGUCUCAGUUCGGAUUGCAGGCUGUAACUCGCCUGCAUGAAGUCGGAAUCGCUAGUAAUCGCAGGUCAGCAUACUGCGGUGAAUACGUUCCCGGGCCUU